rnacentral:misc_RNA from 1 species
GUACCCUCAAGCUCUGCUUGGUGUUGGGCGUCUUGUCUUUCUUAGACUCGCCUCAAAGUAAUUGGCAGCCAGUGUUUUUGGUAGUAAGCGCAGCACAAUUUGCGUCUUAGUCCCUAAACAGUGGCAUCCACAAAGCCUCUUUCUCAC